GCUUACGGCCACACCGGCCUGAGUACGCCUGAUUUCGUCCGAUCUCGGAAGCUAAGCAGGGUCGGGCCUGGUUAGUACUUGGAUGGGAGACCGCCUGGGAAUACCAGGUGCUGUAAGCU
ensembl:rRNA 5S_rRNA 5S ribosomal RNA